ensembl:rRNA 5S_rRNA 5S ribosomal RNA
GCUUACGGCCACACCGCCUGGUUCACGCCUGAUCUCGGAAGCUAACAUAGGUUGGGCCUGGUUAGCACUUGGAUGGGAGACCGCCUGGGAAUACCAGGUGCUGCAAGCU